GGUGGUUCUCGGGUGCUGCAUCCCAGAAUUGGGCUCCCUCCUCUCUGGUUCCAGGGUGCAUCACCUGAGAAUCGGCA
rfam:Myotis davidii contig58786, whole genome shotgun sequence.